GACGAACGCUGGCGGCGUGCUUAACACAUGCAAGUCGAACGGUAAGGCCCUUCGGGGUACACGAGUGGCGAACGGGUGAGUAACACGUGGGUGAUCUGCCCUGCACUUCGGGAUAAGCCUGGGAAACUGGGUCUAAUGCCGGAUAGGACCACUGCCUGCAUGGGUGGUGGUGGAAAGCUUUUGCGGUGUGGGAUGGGCCCGCGGCCUAUCAGCUUGUUGGUGGGGUGAUGGCCUACCAAGGCGACGACGGGUAGCCGGCCUGAGAGGGUGACCGGCCACACGGGGACUGAGAUACGGCCCAGACUCCUACGGGAGGCAGCAGUGGGGAAUAUUGCACAAUGGGCGCAAGCCUGAUGCAGCGACGCCGCGUGAGGGAUGACGGCCUUCGGGUUGUAAACCUCUUUCAGCACCGACGAAGCGCAAGUGACGGUAGGUGCAGAAGAAGGACCGGCCAACUACGUGCCAGCAGCCGCCGUAA
rnacentral:rRNA from 1 species